rnacentral:lncRNA from 1 species
AUUUCAUAUUUUAUUUCUUGCUAGUAUUUCUUUUUUUUAAUAUUUUCAUUAGUUAUUAAUGUACUUUAUUUAUUUGUUUACAUGCAGUGCGGUGCUGAGAAUCGAACCCAGUGCCUCACACACGCUAGGCAAGCGCUCUACCACUGAGCUACAACCCCAGCCCUCUUGCUAGUAUUUCUGUCCUAUAACUAACACUGCAAAUCGUGAGCCUGCCUGGAAAUUUGUCUGUAACAUGGCUUACUAAUGAAUUUCGAAUGAUCUGUUGUUAAAAUUUGGAGGCUGCUGCCCAGACAUUCUAAGGGGGUGAGGCUGACCCUGCAGAUUUCGUUUAUCCUUCCAGCAAGGAACUUGUCGAUUCUGGAAUUCCCUUCGCCUCACAGUGACUCCAGAAAGCAAUGAGGAAGGAAAUCUGCUGGUCUCAUCUCCAGGGGCCUGGUUCUAUGAAACCUUCAACCUUCACCUGACCAACCUGUGGGCCCAGCUGGGGCACAUGCCUGGCGGUGAGAAGGCAUUUGGGGAUUGUGCCCUUACACUUAAGUUCUAGCACAUUCCUGCCUCCCAAAGUGCUUGCACUAAGCCCACUGCUCAGCAGCUCUCCGUCAGGCCCAAGCUGGCACGUUGGAAGCAUCAUCUCAACAGUACUGACCAGACAUUGCCCGUCUAAGAAGUGGUCUGCAGGAUCUAGACCAAGUGUCCUUCCUCACUGGGGAACUGAGCUUCAGUGCUGCCUUCUGCCACCUCCCCGUGCUGCAGGCUUCCUGUGUCUUCUGGCUGGCUGGCCUGCCUGUCCUUCCGUCUCCUGCCCCGGGAAGACCUCGCUUGUUCAUCUCGGAGUCUCCCUCACAGCGCCCAUCCAUGCCUGGAUCCUGCUCUCAGCCUUGGCUCUGCCAUGGGUCUGUGCUGGUAGUAGUUCUGGCCUGUCCCAGCUAGACUUCCAAAACUGCAGGGGCAGGAGGCUGGUGCCAGGGAUCCUGAGGCCUUGUCCCUGACCCCCCAGGGCCUGAGCUGGCACCUGGAAGAGGCAGCCUUCUGUUGAGCAAAAGGGCAGAGGAACCAGCAAGAACGAGCAGAGAAGUUCAACGGUGUCACCUGAUA